AAUAUUGCACAAUGGGCGCAAGCCUGAUGCAGCAAUGCCGCGUGCGCGACGAAGGCCUUCGGGUCGUAAAGCGCUAUUCGGGGAGAUGAGUACGGACAUUACCCCCGGAAUCAGGAUCGGCUAACUACUUGCCAGCAGUCACGGUAAAACGUAGGAUCCGAGCGUUAUCCGAAUUCACUGUGCGUAAAGAGCAUGCAGGCGGCCGCACAAGUUGGAUGUGAAAUCUCCCGGCUCAACUGGGAGGGGACGUUCAAAACUGUGCGGCUCGAGGGCGGUAGAGGAAGGUAGAAUUCCCGGUGUAGUGGUGAAAUGCGUAGAUAUCGGGAGGAAUACCCGUGGCGAAGGCGACCUUCUGGACCGUUUCUGACGCUCAGAUGCGAAAGCUAGGGGAGCGAACGGG
rnacentral:rRNA from 1 species